rnacentral:rRNA from 1 species
AUGAACGCUGGCGGCGUGCCUAAUACAUGCCAGUAGAACGCUGAAGGAAGGAGCUUGCUCUUUCCGGAUGAGUUGCGAACGGGUGAGUAACGCGUAGGUAACCUGCCUGGUAGCGGGGGAUAACUAUUGGAAACGAUGGCUAAUACCGCAUAACAGUAGAUGUUGCAUGAUAUCUACCUAAAAGGUGCAAUUGCACCACUACCAGAUGGACCUGCGUUGUAUUAGCUAGUUGGUGAGGUAACGGCUCACCAAGGCGACGAUACAUAGCCGACCUGAGAGGGUGAUCGGCCACACUGGGACUGAGACACGGCCCAGACUCCUACGGGAGGCAGCAGUAGGGAAUCUUCGGCAAUGGACGGAAGUCUGACCGAGCAACGCCGCGUGAGUGAAGAAGGUUUUCGGAUCGUAAAGCUCUGUUGUAAGAGAAGAACGAGUGUGAGAGUGGAAAGUUCACACUGUGACGGUAUCUUACCAGAAAGGGACGGCUAACUACGUG